AUUAAAGAGUUCUAUAACUCCCAAACCCAUGUGAACAUACCUAACGUUGCCUCGGCAGGUCGCACCUACCUUGUAGCACCCUACCCUGUAGGGCCUACCCGGGAGAUGCGGGUAAGCCUGCCGGCGGCCCACCAAACUCUGUUUAAUAUUGAAUUCUGAACAUAUAACUAAAUAAGUUAAAACUUUCAACAACGGAUCUCUUGGUUCUGGCAUCGAUGAAGAACGCAGCGAAAUGCGAUAAGUAAUGUGAAUUGCAGAAUUCAGUGAAUCAUCGAAUCUUUGAACGCAUAUUGCGCCCAUUAGUAUUCUAGUGGGCAGGACCGUUCGAGCGUCAUUUCGACCCUUAAGCCUUAGUUGCUUAGUGUUGGGAGCCUACGGCAACGUAGCUCCUCAAAGUUAGUGGCGGAGUUGGUUCACACUCUAGACGUAGUAAUUUUUUAUCUCGCCUAUUAGUUGGACUGAUCCCCUGCCGUAAAACCCCCAACUUAUCAAGGUUGACCUCGAAUCGGUUCAGACAAACUCGCUAAAUUGAAGCAUCUUAGUCAGCG
rnacentral:rRNA from 1 species